CCAUUUAUUUGAAAUGAAAACAAAAAAAUCCGCAAUAAUACCCACACUUAUCCUAACACUAUUUAUGUAUUAGAUUUAUAAAAGUCCAAUUAUUGACUAUUUCUCAUAUUUAUAAAAUUUUACAGCAGGUGGUAGAAACGGUUCAUUUUCAACAUUGAUUAAAUGGGAUUCGACAGAUGAAAACAUUUAUUUAAAAAUAAUGGUAAAAGAGCCCAUU